GCCGGGGUGAAUCCCUCAUGGGGAUAGCGUGGUCUCAGGUCACACAGGGUCACAGAAGGAUUGGGGGUGUCUGAGUGUAGCAGAGCUCACAGAUAUUAGAGCAGAGAAGCCAG